GAUGAACGCUGGCGGCGUGCCUAAUACAUGCAAGUCGAGCGAACGGACGAGAAGCUUGCUUCUCUGAUGUUAGCGGCGGACGGGUGAGUAACACGUGGAUAACCUACCUAUAAGACUGGGAUAACUUCGGGAAACCGGAGCUAAUACCGGAUGAUAUUUUGAACCGCAUGGUUCAAAAGUGAAAGACGGUCUUGCUGUCACUUAUAGAUGGAUCCGCGCUGCAUUAGCUAGUUGGUAAGGUAACGGCUUACCAAGGCAACGAUGCAUAGCCGACCUGAGAGGGUGACCGGCCACACUGGAACUGAGACACGGUCCAGACCCCUAGGGGAGGAAGCAGUGGGGAAUCUUCCACAAUGGGCGAAAGCCGGAGGGAGCAACGCCGCGUGUAUGAAGAAGGUCUUCGGUUCGUAAAGCUCUUUUAUGGGGGAAGAAGAGAUUUAAAAUAAUCCGUGCACUUAUUGACGUUACCUAAAGAGAAAGCCCCGGCUAACUCCGUG
rnacentral:rRNA from 1 species